AGAACGAACGCUGGCGGCAUGCCUAACACAUGCAAGUCGAACGCUCUUGAGGCUUCGGUUUCAAGGGAGUGGCGCACGGGUGAGUAGCGCGUGGGAACCUGCCCUGUUGUGGGGGAUAACCGAGGGAAACUUCGGCUAAUACCGCAUGCGCCCGGGGAAACCCGGGGAAAGAUUUAUCGCAGCAGGAGGGGCCCGCGUCGGAUUAGGUAGUUGGUAGGGUAACGGCCUACCAAGCCUUUGAUCCGUAGCUGGUCUGAGAGGAUGAUCAGCCACACUGGGACUGAGACACGGCCCAGACUCCUACGGGAGGCAGCAGUGGGAAUAUUGGACAAUGGGCGCAAGCCUGAUCCAGCCAUGCCGCGUGAGUGAUGACGGCCUUAGGGUGUAAAGCUCUUUCGCUCGGGACGAUAAUGACGGUACCGAGAUAAGAAGCCCCGGCUAACUUCGUGCCAGCAGCCGC
rnacentral:rRNA from 1 species